CCCAUUCAGCUUCAAGUGCUCCAGAUGCAAACAUUUCUGGCACACAGAAGAAAAUGUAAUCUGUUUCUUUGUGAAUCUGAACCUAAGGCCGAGACAAGGCAUUGUGAGGAUGAGGAUCUUCAGACAGGCAUGUAAGAAAUGCAAUUCUCCGAUGUCAGAACCUAAUAUCGCAGAGGAGAACAUCAAAAGGGCUGUCACUAAUCUGGUCAACUAUAUCCAGAGAAAAGUUUACAAAAAGGAAAGUGUGGGAAAAAAAUUAGCACCACAUACAUAUUUUAAAACACGUGGACCGCAUGACACGGAUCAUUGUGAGGCUUGCAUGUAUGGUCUUUGUAAUGUAACAUCUGAGAAUAUUGAAAAACAUAAUACAGAAGAAGAUAAUACAGUUCCAGCUGUAUUAUCUGCUCUUGCUGUUGGGAUUCUUGCUGGAGGGUUAAGUUUUCUUUUUUCACAAAAAUGAUUGAUUGAAGAGGAUCUUGUAGUUGUGGAUGUUGUGGUUUUUUUUACAACCCUUAUCUAAACAUAUUUUAAAAAUAAACAUUGUGUAAUUUAAUGCAA